rnacentral:rRNA from 1 species
AACGAACGCUGGCGGCAUGCCUAACACAUGCAAGUCGAACGAGACCUUCGGGUCUAGUGGCGCACGGGUGCGUACCGCGUGGGAACCUGCCCUUAGGUUCGGAAUAACUCCCCGAAAGGGGUGCUAAUACCGGUUAAUGUCUUCGGACCAAAGAUUUAUCGCCUUUGGAUGGGCCCGCGUUGGAUUAGCUAGUUGGUAGGGUACAAGCCUGCCAAGGCGACGUUCCAUAGCUGGUCUGAGAGGAUGAUCAGCCACACUGGGACUGAGACACGGCCCAGACUCCUACGGGAGGCAGCAGUGGGGAAUAUUGGACAAUGGGCGAAAGCCUGAUCCAGCAAUGCCGCGUGAGUGAUGAAGGCCUUAGGGUUGUAAAGCUCUUUUACCCGGGAUGAUAAUGACAGUACCGGGAGAAUAAGCACCGGCUAACUCCGUG